rnacentral:lncRNA from 1 species
GUCUUGACAUUGUCCUCUAGCAGUGUGGAGUCCUUGUGCUUCAGAUGUGCUAUGGUUUCUCAUGGCCACAUUUUCAAACAUGAAAGGGUAAACAUGAACAAUUUCUUGAAUAUCUCCUUUUUUUUCCCCUUGAACUACCCUGAUUUACUCAUCAAAAUUGCAUUCUUGGAAUGAAUUUGUAUCAUGAUCACAAAUGAAAUUCAUUAAAUAAUUCAAAAUCAACUGGAGAAUGUUUUUAAGUAGGAAGAUAAAAGUGCAGGAGCUGGCAAUGUUGAAACCUAGAUUCUUAAAUAGUAUGUUAAAAUUGAUAUAAAGUAUGCUUGGGGGUAAUAUUUUUAAAUAGCUUAAAAACAAAAGGAAAAAAAUGAUUUUUAUUUUUAAGUAAUUCAAAAUAUUGGCCAGAGAUAGGAAGUCAAGGCUAGUCCUGCCUUGAAAUAAUGUUUAGAAGGUUCCAUUGUGGCCCCGUGGUAACCAGCCUAACUAGUAUACAUGAGGAUGCAGGUUUGAUCACUGGCCUUGCUCAGUGGGUUAAGGAUCUGGUGUUGCUUGUGAGCCGUGGUGUAGGUCACAGACAUGGCUGCAUUGCUGUGGAAAUAAAAAAGAGAAAGAAGGAUGGAAGGAAGGAAGGGAGGGACAAAGAAAGUUUAGAUUUCAGAAUUUGAGUUUUAUUUAUUUAUUUGCUUUAUAGGGCCACACCUGAGACAUGGAAGUUUCCAGUCUAGGGGUUGAAUCAGAGCUACACUCUCCAGCCUACACCUCAGCCACAGCAACGCCAGAUCCCGAUCUGCAUCUACAACCUACACAGAAUUCACAACAAUGCCGGAUCCUUAACCCACUGAUCGAGGCCAGGGAUCAAACCCAGAUCUCAUGGAUACUAGUCGAUUCGUUUCCAUGCACCACAACAGGAACUCCCUUGAGUUUUAUGUUUGUUUCAAUAAAAAGAUUAUUUUGCUUUCUUCAACAAGAGAGGGUUUAAGGCUUUGCACUUUGUAAAACCUCUAGAUGUAAUUAAGUUUUUAAAACAAAUCCUAUAGAAAUAGAGAAUGUCAAAUCUAUUUCAAACAGGAUAGAAUUUACUAUUACAGCAGAUCUAUUUAUUCACAAAAUUACCUUCCAAAGAUAACUAUGCUCAGAAACAAAAGGGAGAAACAAAUUUUUAAAUACUAUUGUUACUUUAGUGCCACUUUAAUCAUAUGUUUUGACCUCAAUUUUAUUCUUAACAAUUAAAAAAUAGAUGAUUGGGUAAUCUUUUUCUUGAAACACAAAGGAAUCCAGCUCAACUUUUAAAAUCUGCUCUGUCAAUGCACUUUUCUUCAUAGGACCAUCCAUUACAUUUAAGUAGAUAAUUAAGUUGCCUCUUAAUUAUUUUCACACUAGCUAUAUGACUUCAUUUUUGUUACUUGCAAUAAUUGGAACUUCAGCUGAAAUUGAAGAGAACACUAUGUCAAUACUUUAUAAAAGUAUUUUAAAUAAUACUUUUAAUAAUUUUUGCAUCAAUUCAAAUAUUCAGAAAGUACUGAAGAGUAGUAGCUAGUUUGUAUUCUCUUCAGUUUGCUUCCACAGAGUAAUUCUAUUGCGAGUUUUAUUAUUUUUUUUUUUUUCUAUUAGUUAUCAAAGAGAUUUAUUACUGCACUGUGUCCCCAAAUCAUGUAAAUAGUGUUCUGGAAUAGAAGAUGAAAACUUUCUUUAAAAUAUAUGUUUAGUUCCAAGAGGUGACACUGCUGUAAUGUAAAGACCUGUUAAAAAUAAUCCAGUUAAUAAGUUAUUUUCCAAUCCACAGUAGAUCUUUAGGAAAAUAGUCUGAAUACCAGUUGUUUGCCACUAUGGCUAAUGCACAGAUUACUAAAUCAUUAAUGUAGUUUUCUUGAGUACUAGGUAACAGAGCUAAAAAUAAUGUUACUAAUGAAAUUGGAGACAUUUUGACUUUAUCUCCUUAAUACAGCCAUUCUCUCACUGGUUCCUGUCGUGGCACAGUGGAAUCUGACUAGUAUCCAUGAGGAUGUGGGUUUGAUCCCUGGCUUCACUCAGUGGGUCAGGGAUCCUGCGUUGCCUUGAGCUGUGGUGUAGGUUGCAGACAUGGCUCGGAUCCUGUGUGGCUGUGGCUGUGACUUAGGCCAGCAGCUGUAGCUCCCAUUAGACCCCUAACCUGGGAACUUCCAUGUGCCACAGGUUCAGCCCUAAAAAGCAAAAAAUAAAUAAAUAAAUAAAUAAAUUAGAGCCGUACUCUGAAUUGGUUUGGUGAGGGAAUCAUUUAAAGAAUAUGUGUUAAGCUUAGUUCAUUCCCAGGCAUUGUGCCAAGUGCAAGGGAUAGCAGGGGAAUUAACAUUACAUCUGAAGAAUUGAGGCUGGAGGAAUAAUGUGGUAUGAUAAUUCCCAGUAAUCAAGGGAAUUGGAUUGUGUAGUGGGAGCACAAAUGAGCAAUAAAUUUUGUAUUUGGAGAGAUGGUCAGUGAAGUUCUCAGAGGAGACAGUCAAGGUGACUUUUGAAGGAUCGGUUUGAAAAUGGGUAGAUGCAGAGGCACAGAGAGUGAUAUAAAUAUGUCACAUUUAAAAAUGUUUUUUGCAUGACUGGAAAAUAGGGAAAGAUUAUUUGGUACAUAGUAGUUAUCUCAAAUUAAUGGAUUAUGGGGAAACAUUAAGAGAUAAGGCCAGAAAAGGGAGAAGGAACAUGUGUAUCAUGCUGUAAUUUUAACUCUAACCUGAAAAUAUUGAAGCUUUUUAGAAGGUCUGUGGACUUGCUCGGAUCUCUCACUGAAGAAUUUACUAUUUUAGCAGUAAGACCAAAUAAUAGGUAAGAUGGGAAGUAUAGUGGUAUAGAAAAACAGUUUUGGCCUUUGUUUAACUGAAAGACUAUCCUAACAAUUCUGGCUGUUAUCUGGAACAGUAUCAAGGAAUCUCUUGAGUCAAACCUGAACUCUUCUGACUGCCACUUUCUGGCUGUGUGACCUUGGAAGUGUUACUCAACAGUUCUGUUCCUCUGUUUUCUGAUUUGUAAAGUAGAUUUAUAGUAGCACUUGUUUCAAGAAAUAGCUGUGAGUAUUAAAUAAUGUAAUGCAUGUAUUCUAUUAACAAUGCCACCGAAUGUAAGACUACUAGGAACACAAGGGAGUUGAACAAAAGUGGGUUUAUUUUUUGUUGAAACUAGAGCACACACGGUAGGGUUUAUCAGUGGAAGUGUUCUGCAAAAGGGUGCUCAAAAGGCCUUAUUGCAUUGGGGCUUGUGUUAAGUGACUUAGAAGUUCAAGGAAAGAAGAGUUUGCUCUGGAUUGCAUUCUCUCAGGCAGGGGGGUAAUUUUAUGACUGGGUAUCUUAAUAGAGCUUGUUCAGAAGGUGGAAAAAAUGAAGGGGAGUUAAAGCUGUAAUUGGUAAAGAAGCAGCAGUCACCUAGGUGGGCAGGGGACAUUUGGUAUUUUGUGCUUUGCGUUGUAACAUGGUUUUUAUCUGUACUUAGACAAAAUUAUGAAGAGAUCUUGUCUGUCUUAUUUCAUCAGGGUCAUAGAGUGACCUUGCCUAAUACUGAUGUUCUGUGAAAUUAAAUUUAUGUUCUGCAAGAGAACAGCAAGACCUCACUGAUAGUCACAAGCCACUUCCCAGAUGCCAGGGGCUGCUUUUCUCCUCUCAUCGUAAUGCUUGUCAUAAACUUAACACCUAAAAAAUACUUCCUGAGGAGUUCCCGUCGGGGCACAGUGGAAAUGGAUCCAACUAGGAACCAUGACGUUCCGGGUUCGAUUCCCUGGCCUUGCUCAGUGGGUUAAGGAUCCAGCAUUGCUGUGAGCUGCCCUGUAGGUUGCAGACGAGCAUCAGAUCUGGCCUUGCUGUGGCUGUGGCAUAGGCCGGCAGCUACAGCUCCGAUUCGACCCCUAGCCUGGGAACCUCCAUAUGCUGCAGAUGGGGACCUAAAAAGACAAAAAAUAAAAAUAAAAGACAACUUCCUGAGGAAUUGUAAUAUUGAGCCAACAUUACAGGAUCAAAUAUAUUUCAGUCCAAGUUUAUGGACAGUUUGGUCUGUUUUCAACCUACCCUAUCGGCCUGCACCUUCUUACUCCUUUUCUAUGUGAGAAGAUUUUUCUUAUGUUUUAGAUUUUUACUCUGAGUUAGUAUUUCUCAUACACAAAAGAAUAAAUCAGAAUGGUAAACUUCGAAACCACAGGUUCUUUAAACAUUUUUAUGAAGGUUUAAAAAUUUAAAAACAUAAUCAUUCCAACAUCUGCAUUUUAUGUUGGUGUAACAUUGGUCAAUCCUUACAGUGUUUCUCACGACUGAACUUAAAUGCUAAGUGUAGUUAUUUGUAUACUAUCUGUGUUCCCUAAUAUACCAUAAAACCUGUUAGCCUUGUCUUAUCUCUAGUGUAAAGUGCAGUGCCUGGCACAGUAAGUGUUGAAGAAAUGGUUGUUGAAUAACAGAAGGAGGAAAAGAAAAAAAAAAUUGUGCUUAGGAAGCAGUACUGCAACUAAAUUAUAUUGAGCAAUUACUCAAUGCCAGGUACUAUUGUUAGCACGUUAACAAAAGUUAUAAGGAAAUGACCUAAAGUUUAGUAUUUAUCUUCUGUGAAGGAAAUUUUGACUUAAGCUGACGGUGUGUAACUUGCUGUUCUAGGAGGUGAUAAAACUCCAUUCCAGACUUGUGUCAUGCAUCAAACAUUUAAUAAAAACACUCAUAUUGCGCUGGGAAUUGAAUUUAUCAAAGCCAGUCAUUAGCAAUUGCUGCUUUGUAAUUAAAUGGACUCCUUCAGCUACCCUCCCUCUGUUAUAAUCACCUGGGAGUCUCAAAUUGGUUUAAACACAGCCCCCCCCACCCCCACCCCCACCCCCGCCCCGACCCUGUGCUGGCACCUAACAGCUGAAUGGGGCUGGAGAAAAACCUACAACUGCUGCUAAUUUCCUUUUGGUUUGUUGUCCCAAAUGUCAAAUAGGUACUAUGCAAAGAUCUUGCCAUACUUCACAAAUAAUCUUGUUCUCUUACUCUCCAAAAUUACUUUGUCAUACCUUCAUUUCCCACGUCGUCGGCACCACCAUUCUCUUACUACUGGAUCUUUCAUCAGCAUAUGAACAUUCUCUUUUGUCUUCUAUCUUUAAACAAGAUAAAACCCUUCCUGAGCCUCACAGCCCCUUCUGCCAUGUCUCUCACACAUCACAGAAAGCAUCUUAAAAGCUCCCUCACAUUUCAGUUUACCUCUCCUGACCCUAACUAGGUUUUCAUUACACACUCCCCUGAAACUGCUCUUGUCAGGAUUACCAAACACCUCCGCUUUGCCAAGGCAAUAGUCAGUCCUCUGGGUUAGACUGAAGCAUUUACUCAGUUGACCACUGCAUCCUCUUCAUGCAUACGCUGUCUAUCCGUGGCUUCCCUGACAGCAUGCUCUCCCAGUCUCUUGCUCCUUGCUUCAUCCAUGGGCUGCAGCUCCUCCGUUUUACCCUUAAAUGUUGGAAUGCUCCAAGGCUCAGGUCUGGGGCUUGACUUCAGCUCUUCUCUUUUUUUUUUCUACUCUGUAUCAUCGAAUCCCUGGGUUUAGAUACCAUCUAUAUGCAAACUUAUUUUGCCAGCUCUGACCUUUUCACUGAGCUAUAAAUUUAGAUAUCUAGAUGUCAGCUUAACCCUUCUCUCCUUGAAUAACAAAUAGGCAUUUCAGGAGCUCCCUCAUGGCUCAGUGGGUUAAGGAUCUAGCAUUGUCACUCCUGGGGCUCUGGUUACAGCCGUGGCAUGGGUUCUAUCCCUGGCCUGGGAAUUUCAGCCAAAACAAACAGAGGCAUUUCACACUUAAAAUGGCCAAAGCAGGAGUCUUGGUUUUCUCCCUGUGAAAACUGUUUUUUCUUCAUUCUUCCUCACCUCAGUAUGUGGUACCUCCUUUCACUCAGAUAGAUAUUCAGGACAGGAACCCCGGAGUGGGCCUUUUCUCUCCAUUUCCCCUGCCUCGCUAUACUCUACCUCAGACAUACAUCCUCAGUACAUUUCUCUCCAAUCCAUUGCUUCACUUGCGUCUAAGCUUCCAUUAUCUUCUGUCAGUUCUUAUCUGAAUUAUUAUGGUACCUCUUAACUAUUCUCAGCUUCCUACCUCAUCUGGCUGUUUCUUAGCUUUUGACAUUUCCUAGCACCCAGCACCCAGUCUCACCCACUGCAGUCUGCUGAAAAAAAAAAAAAAAGACAAAGUCCUCCUUUGGGCCUUUGGUUCAGUAUGGGCUCUGCUUGGAAUGCUAAGCCCUGACAUUCAAGUCUCAGAACUAGUGUCCUGGAUCGGUGAAAGGUGAAAAUUUACCUAACCAUAUACUCUGAGUUAGCACCUUUACCCAGUCAGCAUCCCUCUGUAUGUCUCGAUAUACUUUUCACUGUUGGAUUGAUCUCAAUCAUAUUUUUGUCAUUUGGUAUGUCUGCUAUUAGGGUAUCAAUCUAUAAAUUGGGGACCUUACCACUGUAUUCUUAGCACUAAGAACAUUGCCUGACACAUGAUAAGUACUUAGUGGAUAUUUGUUGCAUAAAUAAAUGUAUAACCUUAUUUAUUUUAAUGUAAAACUGAUUUCACCCCUACAACUUUGACCCUAGGAAAAUGUGCCUCCCGUGUUUCCUAUGGCUUCAUUACCUCAUUUCUUACUUUGAGAAGCUUUGCAGCUCUUUACAUCUAUACCAAACCCCUUGAGAAUGAAAAGAAGAAUGGUAUGGUAUCUUUGAAUAAACAUCAGUGAGGAAGCUCAUCAGUAAGUGAUCAAUAUAGGCCUCCCAAAAAAAGAGAGACGCUGUCAUAGAAAUCGCCCAUACAGUUGAGUACUUGGCUUGACCCUUGAUUUAAAUAAAUAUACUUCCCUGGUAAGUCUGACGAAAGGUAAUGCAGUAUUAUGUGAUGUGAAGAGCGAUGAGACAAAAGCUUGAGUCUACUUUGAAAUAAGUAAAUCUGGAGUUCCUGUCAUGGCGCAGUGGAAACAAAUCCAACUAGGAACCAUGAGGUUGCCAGUUCGAACCCUACCCGUGCUCAGUGGGUUAAGGAUCCGGUGUUGCUGUGAGCUGUGGUGUAGUUGCAGAUGUAGCUUGGAUCCUGUGUUGCUGUGGCUGUGGUGUAGGCUGGCAGCUAUAGCUCCAAUUUGACCCCUAGCCUGGGAACCUCCAUAUGCUGCAGGUGC